rnacentral:rRNA from 1 species
GUCUACUGCCACGCCACCCUGAACAAGCCCGAUGUCUGAUCUUGGAAGCUAAGCAGGGUUGAGCCUGGUUAAUACUUGGAUGGGAGACCACCUAGGAAGACCAGGUGCUGUAGGCA